GCGCUAAGAAACUUCUCCGUAGUUCAUAGGCAGAGAUAUAUUCAAGGAACAAAAGGCGCUAGAUUUUCUCUCUCGUGCAUGCGCACAAAUGUACGGCGCCUCUGGAAGUGCCACGCCCCGUUGUAAGUAAAAUCGCGACCGGGAAGGAGCAAAAACAUGGCGUGAGCUGGCUGGCCAACGAGCCGAUUGUUGUCGGUGGCAAUUAUCGUCAUAGUACCGGUGACGAUAGGCGACUGUGUUCGCGUUGUGAAGUCAUCUGCCCGCGUGGAUGAACGCCCUCGGUGAUUUCAGUGAUCGAUUAUAUCGAUGUUACCGUAACUUGCAAGAAGCCGGUGCAACUUCGACAACUCGUGGCAGUGCGACCCGUGCGACGGCCACAGGGCGACAAUCAGCAGCGGUGAGCUUCCAUGUGCGCUGGAUCGUCGACCCCUGGAAUGUGUGCUGUACAGCUGCGCACCAGUGACGAUUCGGUACGACGACCGACUACAAGUCCCGGAGUCAUCAGGACAAAUAAUUCUGAAUGCAUACGAAGGACAUCAGAUGUGUUUGUGAUGACGACGCAAUUAUUUAAAAUUGAAAUACAUAUUUGAAAAGGCUUUUUCUUUCUCAUAUUGGCAAUGUAUCGAUAAAAAACUCCCCUUGCAUCUCUCUGCGUUCAACCAAACACUGCGAUAUGUGUACGGAGUGAUCCCUUGGACAAAAAAGUUAUGUUGCUUGGCUCCCAGAAGAGCUCUUCAAUUCAAAUACAUGCUGUUUCUUGCAGCACUUUCAUUCUUUCUUUUUUCAUGCUAGUCAUGGAUAGCUAUCUUUUCUUUAGCUGCGAGCACUUCACCGUCGAAGUUCCUCAUUUGAUAACCUAUCCAUAAAGAAUGUGACCUUUCACUAAGUUUGGGACGUAUGUGUGUUGUGUUCUUGAUAUUGCACUUAUCUGCUAUUUUACAUAAUUUUGUCUAUCAACAAAACUUUUUAAUGAGGAGAUAAACUGAGAGGCCCAAAUUUUGUUGGUCAGAACAACAUAAAGUUCAUGCAAAUUGAUGCGUUAUGCUUGUUUCACAUUUUCAAUGCUGCACACGUGAACACUGCCUACCUGCUUUUGUAUUUCCUGUUACAGUUUGUCCUUUACUUAUUACUGUCAGAACUUCGUAUAUAAGCCCCCAUUCUGUCUUAAGAGCUACAGUGAAACUGUGCUUCACACUUUGUUUUAUUGUAAAUAAAUAAUUCUCCUUUGAAAACUA